rnacentral:rRNA from 1 species
CGAUUGAGUUUGAUCCUGGCUCAGGAUGAACGCUGGCGGCGUGCCUAACACAUGCAAGUCGAACGGGGUAUAUAAGCGGAAGUUUACGGAUGGAAGGUUAUAUACUUAGUGGCGGACGGGUGAGUAACGCGUGGGCAACCUGCCCCGUGCCGGGGGAUACCGCCUGGAAACAGGCGCUAAUACCGCAUAAGCGCAUACAGCCGCAUGGGUGUAUGCGGGAAGCUCCGGCGGCACGGGAUGGGCCCGCGCCCGAUUAGCCAGUUGGCGGGGUAACGGCCCACCAAAGCGACGAUCGGUAGCCGGCCUGAGAGGGCGGACGGCCACAUUGGGACUGAGACACGGCCCAAACUCCUACGGGAGGCAGCAGUGGGGAAUAUUGCACAAUGGGGGAAACCCUGAUGCAGCAACGCCGCGUGGGUGAAGGAGCGUUUCGGCGCGUAAAGCCCUGUCAGCGGGGAAGAAGAAAGACGGUACCCGACCAAGAAGCCCCGGCUAACUACGUGCCAGCAGCCGCGGUAAUACGUAGGGGGCGAGCGUUAUCCGGAAUUACUGGGUGUAAAGGGAGCGUAGACGGCGAGGUAAACCUGAAGUGGAAGCCCGCGGCCCAACCGCGGAACUGCUUUGGGAACUGUUUUGCUGGAGUUAUGGGA